rnacentral:hammerhead_ribozyme from 1 species
AUCCAACUGACGAGUUCCAAAUAGAAAGUAACGCGCGUUCUAGAU